rnacentral:rRNA from 1 species
ACCAGACUCCUACGGGAGGCAGCAGUGGGGGAUAUUGCACAAUGGGGGGAACCCUGAUGCAGCGACGCCGCGUGGGUGAAGAAGCGCCUCGGCGCGUAAAGCCCUGUCAGCAGGGAAGAAAAUGACGGUACCUGAAGAAGAAGCCCCGGCUAACUACGUGCCAGCAGCCGCGGUAAUACGUAGGGGGCAAGCGUUAUCCGGAUUUACUGGGUGUAAAGGGGGCGCAGACGGCGAUGCAAGCCAGGAGUGAAAGCCCGGGGCCCAACCCCGGGACUGCUCUUGGAACUGCGUGGCUGGAGUGCAGGAGGGGCAGGCGGAAUUCCUGGUGUAGCGGUGAAAUGCGUAGAUAUCAGGAGGAACACCGGUGGCGAAGGCGGCCUGCUGGACUGCAACUGACGUUGAGGCCCGAAAGCGUGGGGAGCAAACAGGAUUAGAUACCCGAGUAG